GUGGGGAAUAUUGCGCAAUGGGCGAAAGCCUGACGCAGCGACGCCGCGUGAGGGAUGAAGGUUUUCGGAUCGUAAACCUCUGUCAGAAGGGAAGAAACUACAUUGUGCUAAUCAGCAGUGUACUGACGGUACCUUCAAAGGAAGCACCGGCUAACUCCGUGCCAGCAGCCGCGGUAAUACGGAGGGUGCAAGCGUUAAUCGGAAUUACUGGGCGUAAAGCGCACGUAGGCUGUAGUGUAAGUCAGGGGUGAAAUCCCACGGCUCAACCGUGGGACGGCCCUUGGUACUGCACAACUUGAAUCCGGGAGAGGGUGGCGGAAUUCCAGGUGUAGGAGUGAAAUCCGUAGAUAUCCGGAGGAACACCGGUGGCGAAGGCGGCCACCUGGACAGGUACUGACGCUGAGGCGCGAAAGCGUGGGGAGCAAACAGGAUUAGAAACCCGAGUAGUCC
rnacentral:rRNA from 1 species